GAGUCCGGUUUGACCAAUUUAUUCUUCUGUUUACCGUCAGACGUGGGAUUGGCUAGAGAGUGUGAUUAGUUGGAGGCAGCACUCGAGGAGUAUUCCGAGCAUUGAAAGGCUUAGGCCUCAUACCGUGAGUGGACUUUUGUUUUAAAUAAUAUGCAUGCUAUGGUUCAUGGUUGAACAAUUAAUUUUGUUGGAGCAUUUGACUUCAUUUUAAUUUUGACGAUUUUAUUUCUCUUGGAGAGUUACCGAAAAUGGAAUUUUCGGUGGAUAUAAAUAUAUAUUUAUAAGAGAGUAUGUAUAUAAAUGCUAGCUAGCCCUAUGUGUCUGUCCACCUUAAUGGCGUAGCAUAUAGCCGCAUUAUGGUGUGACGUGAGCGUUGGACGUGAGCGUAGUAGCCCUAUAUGAGUGUCUAAUUCAUAUAGGGGGUAUGGACACAUUUAUACACCCGUCUGUCCACCUUAAUGGCGUAGUGUAGCACCGCAUUAAGGCGUGACGUGAGCGUUGGACGCGAGCGUAGUAGCCCUAUAUAGACCCAUGAAUUUAUAUAGGGAGUAUGGACGUGUGUAAAUACAUACAUAUAUGUUAGAGCCUGAGAGGCUCGAUAUUUUAUGAGAUAAAAGUUUUUAUCGUUUGUGGCAUGCAUUUGAUUUUUCCUUGGAAAUUGAUUUGGGGAAACAUAAAUAUUUUAUUUUAUUAAUUUAUUUUUGUCCACUCACUCUAACGUUAUUAAAUGUUCUCCCCUGGGCCCUUCGUUUUAAAAUGCCCAGUUUGCAAGAUUGCAUAGUUGAGGUCGGGCGUAUAAGGAGAUGAGGCAUAGUCAUCAUAUAGCUUUCGCUUGUGAAUUUAUUAUGUUUCCUUUCUUCCUAUUAGAGUUGCUCUGAACCUAUAAAUAGUUGGAUAUGAGAUUUGUUUAGAUUAGUAAAUAAUUUGGGUGGUGUUGUGAUUUGGGGAGCACGAAGGCUCCAGGAGUUUAAGGUUGGGUUUAAAUUUUCUGAAGUGUUUGCAGGUAUUAUUUAGGAAGGGUUGUCCAUUUUCUAGGGAGGUGAUGCCGAUUUUUCGGUAAACUUUCCUUGGAGGUGGUCCCCGUAGGAUUUACUUCGGGUUUCAGAGUGAAAUUCGGGGUGGGUCUUGACAGAGGCUGUUUCUUUUGCGCUGCCGGAAACGACACUUGCUGCAGUGCUACUCUUUGAAGAUGUAUUGUCAUUGGCUGAUGCAUUGGUUGAUGUUCUAUAGAUUGACAGUUAAGGCAACCAAGAGCUCCUUAACAGAGUUAGUUUUGGCUUUUGCUCCUCCUCAGGUGAAUAAUGGAGCACUUGUAGGUAAGUAUGAGAUAUGUUCUUCAGCUUGAACCUAGGAUCCAAUACCAAUGCAACCAACAACAACUGAUUCAUGUCUUCAAUACGUCCAAAAUAUUUUCUAAACUUGGCAAACAUCUUUUCUGCCAUCUUCAACAUCAGCAAUUCAACUUCACUUCUAGUUCCAGAGUAGGCGCAAAAAGUGCAUUAAUCUCCCCUUCUAUUGCUACAAUGUCAUGAAAUGCUUUAUGAGCAGUGGGGUGUCUAGUCAUACUCAUCCUCAUUGUCACAUCAUCAAAAACCCUUAAGAUCAACACAAAUAUUUCAGCAUUUUCCCAAUCCUCAUCUUGUGGU
rnacentral:lncRNA from 1 species